CAAUAUAUUCGUUGGUCUUCUAGAUUCUUCUGCGGUUAGUCUAAACUCUAAAAGCCCUUCUUUUUCCUUUCUCCAUUUUUGCCACAGUUCUUCUCUCUACUAGCAAUGAACCCUGAUGGAUUUCCUACCGGCAACCUUUCCACCACAGGUAAGGAAUUCGUUGGUAGAUCCACUGCCGACGACCAGGUUGAGUCUCUCAAGGAGGCUAUGGCUAACAUCAACCUGGCGGAUUUGACUCAGGAAGAGUUGAGGGAUCUUCACAAAAAACUGCUUAGUUUCCAUGAGAAACUAGCUCAGAGGGCUGAGGUUCUUAAGGGAAAAUGAAGGAAGAGCAAGCGAUUAUCAAGAGAUUGAAUCGUUUUUUAUUUAAAUAAGAAGAGUCUUGUGACUAGUACUUAGAUAACUUGUAUGGUUGGUUCUGACUUUGUGUGUUAAGUAUCUAUGUCUCUCUGGUGAUAUGAUUAAACUAAAGACUUAUAUGGUUUGCUAGAUUCUAUCUAAAAUCAAUGUUAUGGUGCAAUUUUCAA